UUCCGGGAGGCAGCAGUAGGGAAUCUUCCGCAAUGGGCGAAAGCCUGACGGAGCGACGCCGCGUGAGCGAAGAAGACCUUCGGGUCGUAAAGCUCUGUUGUGAGGGACGAAGGAGCGCCGUUCGAAGAGGGCGGCGCGGUGACGGUACCUCACGAGAAAGCCCCGGCUAACUACGUGCCAGCAGCCGCGGUAAUACGUAGGGGGCGAGCGUUGUCCGGAAUUAUUGGGCGUAAAGCGCGCGCAGGCGGUCUCUUAAGUCUGAUGUGAAAGCCCACGGCUCAACCGUGGAGGGUCAUUGGAAACUGGGGGACUUGAGGGCAGGAGAGGAGAGCGGAAUUCCACGUGUAGCGGUGAAAUGCGUAGAGAUGUGGAGGAACACCAGUGGCGAAGGCGGCUCUCUGGCCUGCACCUGACGCUGAGGCGCGAAAGAGUGGGGAGCAAACAGGCUUAGAUACCCUGGUAGUCCACCCCCCCUNNAUGAGUGCUAAGUGUUAGAGGGGUCACACC
rnacentral:rRNA from 1 species